rnacentral:lncRNA from 1 species
CCAAGAGAGUCCAAGCUGGGAAAAGAAUCAGGGACCUGACUGGAUGGAGAGUACAUACACCUGGACCACUGCAGGCAUGGCACAGGGAAGAGAGAAUCCAGACCCAAAUCACCUCCAACCCACACCUGCUGAUUCUUCCGUGCUUUUGUAGCCUGACCCUUCGCUGCCGUCACUCCAACUCCUGUGUGAGGAUGUUGAGCUCCUGGGAAAACCGAAGGGAGGGCAGGAGAGACAAUACUGUGACCAAAGGCUGAGACUGUGUCAUCACUUGGGAAUGAAAGCAUCAAAUGCCACCCCAGGUGGGAUUGUU